rnacentral:rRNA from 1 species
UACGAAGGGGGCGAGCGUUAUUCGGAAUCACUGGGCGUAAAGCGUGCGUAGGCCGUUUUGUAAGUCAGGAGUGAAAGCCCGGGGCUCAACCCCGGAAUUGCUCUUGAAACUACAAAACUAGAAUUCGGGAGAGGAUAGCGGAAUUGUCAGUGUAGCAGUGAAAUGCGUAGAUAUUGACAGGAACACCAGUGGCGUAAGCGGCUAUCUGGACCGAUAUUGACGCUGAGGCACGAAAGCGUGGGGAUCAAACAGG